rnacentral:rRNA from 1 species
AUUGAACGCUGGCGGCAGGCCUAACACAUGCAAGUCGAGCGAGCGGAGGACGGUUGAGUAAUGUAUGGGGACUGCCCGAUAGAGGGGGAUCAAUACUGGAUACGGUAGCUAAUACCGCAUACUAGCUGAUUACACAUAUGGUAUUAGCUAGUAGGUGCGGUAAUGGCUCACGUAGGCGACGAGCCCUAGCUGGUCGGAGAGGAGGAUCAGCCACACGGGGACUGAGACACGGCCCAGACUCCUACGGAGGCAGCAGUGGUGAAUAUUCGACAAUGGGCGCAAGCCUGAUGCAGCCAUGCCGCGUGUAUGAAGAAGGCCCUAGGGUUGUAAAGUACUUUCAGUCGGGAGGCGGUACCGACAGAAGAAGCACCGGCUAACUCCGUGCCAGCAGCCGCGGUAAUUC